rnacentral:rRNA from 1 species
UACGAAGGGGGCUAGCGUUGCUCGGAAUCACUGGGCGUAAAGCGCACGUAGGCGGGUCGUUAAGUCAGGGGUGAAAUCCUGGAGCUCAACUCCAGAACUGCCCUUGAUACUGGCGAUCUCGAGUUCGGGAGAGGUGAGUGGAACUGCGAGUGUAGAGGUGAAAUUCGUAGAUAUUCGCAAGAACACCAGUGGCGAAGGCGGCUCACUGGCCCGUAACUGACGCUGAGGCACGAAAGCGUGGGGAGCAAACAGG